CUCAGGAUGAACGCUAGCUACAGGCUUAACACAUGCAAGUCGAGGGGCAGCAUUUUAGUUUGCUUGCAAACUGAAGAUGGCGACCGGCGCACGGGUGAGUAACACGUAUCCAACCUACCGAUAACUCCGGAAUAGCCUUUCGAAAGAAAGAUUAAUACCGGAUAGCAUACGAAUAUCGCAUGAUAUUUUUAUUAAAGAAUUUCGGUUAUCGAUGGGGAUGCGUUCCAUUAGUUUGUUGGCGGGGUAACGGCCCACCAAGACUACGAUGGAUAGGGGUUCUGAGAGGAAGGUCCCCCACAUUGGAACUGAGACACGGUCCAAACUCCUACGGGAGGCAGCAGUGAGGAAUAUUGGUCAAUGGGCGAGAGCCUGAACCAGCCAAGUAGCGUGAAGGAUGAAGGCUCUAUGGGUCGUAAACUUCUUUUAUAUGGGAAUAAAGUUUUCCACGUGUGGAAUUUUGUAUGUACCAUAUGAAUAAGGAUCGGCUAACUCCGUGCCAGCAGCCGCGGUAAUACGGAGGAUCCGAGCGUUAUCCGGAUUUAUUGGGUUUAAAGGGAGCGUAGGUGGAUUGUUAAGUCAGUUGUGAAAGUUUGCGGCUCAACCGUAAAAUUGCAGUUGAAACUGGCAGUCUUGAGUACAGUAGAGGUGGGCGGAAUUCGUGGUGUAGCGGUGAAAUGCUUAGAUAUCACGAAGAACUCCGAUUGCGAAGGCAGCUCACUAGACUGUCACUGACACUGAUGCUCGAAAGUGUGGGUAUCAAACAGGAUUAGAUACCCUGGUAGUCCACACAGUAAACGAUGAAUACUCGCUGUUUGCGAUAUACAGUAAGCGGCCAAGCGAAAGCAUUAAGUAUUCCACCUGGGGAGUACGCCGGCAACGGUGAAACUCAAAGGAAUUGACGGGGGCCCGCACAAGCGGAGGAACAUGUGGUUUAAUUCGAUGAUACGCGAGGAACCUUACCCGGGCUUAAAUUGCAACAGAAUAUAUUGGAAACAGUAUAGCCGUAAGGCUGUUGUGAAGGUGCUGCAUGGUUGUCGUCAGCUCGUGCCGUGAGGUGUCGGCUUAAGUGCCAUAACGAGCGCAACCCUUAUCUUUAGUUACUAACAGGUUAUGCUGAGGACUCUAGAGAGACUGCCGUCGUAAGAUGUGAGGAAGGUGGGGAUGACGUCAAAUCAGCACGGCCCUUACGUCCGGGGCUACACACGUGUUACAAUGGGGGGUACAGAAGGCGGCUACCUGGUGACAGGAUGCUAAUCCCAAAAACCUCUCUCAGUUCGGAUCGAAGUCUGCAACCCGACUUCGUGAAGCUGGAUUCGCUAGUAAUCGCGCAUCAGCCAUGGCGCGGUGAAUACGUUCCCGGGCCUUGUACACACCGCCCGUCAAGCCAUGAAAGCCGGGGGUACCUGAAGUACGUAACCGCAAGGAGCGUCCUAGGGUAAAACUGGU
rnacentral:rRNA from 1 species